UAAAAAGCAGUGCCCUUUUGCCCUUUUGUGAAGAGGGCUCUCGUAAAUUUCAGGAAAAUUACAGCUUGCAUUAUUUUUGGGUGAACCUCUGUACUUGUUUGUGACUUGAAGGUUCAGUAAAUGAUGCCACAUCG